rnacentral:RNase_P_RNA from 1 species
GUAAGGUGGAUAAUCGCAGCUGCUAUUGGCGAAAGUACGCAGGUGAGGAAAGUCCGGGCUUCAUAGGGCAGGAUGCUGGCUAACGGCCAGUGGAGGUGACUCCCAGGAAAGUGCAACAGAAAUAAAACCGCCACUUUGUGUGGUAAGGAUGAAAUGGUGGUGUAAGAGACCACCGCCAUGUUGGUGACAACAUGGGUCAGUGUAAACCCCAUUCGAAGCAAGACUGAACAGAAAACGUUGAGGUUGCCCGCCGAGUUUUCGGGUAGGUCGCUUGAGCACAUUGGUAACGGUGUGCCUAGAUAGAUGAUUAUCCCAGACAUAACCCGGCUUAUAGCCUUACUCAU